UAAAUGAGAGGUUUAUAACAAGUCACAGGUAGUCUAAUGCAACAAAGUGGAAUCUGGCUAGCAGAAUCUUCAGAUAAACUUCAUAAAUAGCCCCUAGAAUCUUUUCAAUGUCUCUACAUUUUGGGUUAACUACAUGUUGAGACCAGGGGGGGAGUCAGGCCUGGGAGGAGCAGGGAGGUGGUUUGUCCGAAAGGAAUCAUAGGAAGAAAACGACUUGCUUUCCUUGGCAGUUCCUCUUAUCCUUUCAUGUUUUUAACCAUACCAGUAUGUGUUAACGCAAAUCAACUUCAUUUGACUUAUAUACAAAGACGAAGAACACAUGCGGAUAUAAACCACGACUGUGUGUCAUCGAGUUUAGGAAAAAGAUUCGGACACACCCGAGGCAAUGAAGCUUGAGGUCCUAGCGGGCGAUCAGUUUGGCUUAGCAAAUUUAUGAGUGCAGUGGUAGUGUGUUGGGUUGCGUUGCGUUCUUUAGGGGUCACGUGGCUAGUGUUUUAGUGCUCUGUCUCCACCCUCGCUGUCGUCUUUUCCAUGUGUUGGUAAGUACCAUGUCACAGGUUCAUCGCGGGACAACGCGGGACAGCGCUGGGAGCAACCCUUCGUACCAACAGAUAAGGAAAGAUACGGUUUCCUAGGUCGUUAGGGUGUUAGGUUGUUAGGCUGCUAACCUCUGAUUGCCUUUCAGGUAUAUUAAUAGUGUAGAUUAUUCCACAGCAAUGCCAUGAACAGCAGUGACGAGACACUUAUAACGGAUAUUAAAGAUGGGUGGAGAAAGACGCCACUUAUAAAGGAUAUUAAAGAUGGUUGGAGAAAGACGCACGAUCCGCAGUUAUACAUAGCAUUGUGUGGAAAUUGUUGGAGAGAAGAUGGCAUUGCGAGGAAGAGACGCUUGCUGCAGAAAAGCACGCGCACGCUACGAUCUCGGAGGAAAAAGAAACUGGUUGAAGUGAAAGCUGCCGCUCCAGCUGGCAAUGGAGUCAACGUGUCACGGUGAGGAAAAUGGUCUUGCAAACAUUAGGCUCUACUAAAAUCAUGGCUGCUGAUCGCGCAUAUUACCUCCAAGGUCGUAAUUUCAAUAGGUUUAGGGAGUUAAUUCCUUGGAUUUAGGUGCUAAUCUCAUGGUCUUUCAGGUGCAAAUCUCUCUAGGUAUAGGAACUAAUCUCAUUUCCUUUCAGGUGCUAAUCUUACUGCCUUUCAGGUGCUAAUCUCACUGCCUUUCAGGUGCUAAUCUCGUUGCCUUUCAGGUGCUAAUGUCGUUGCAUUUCAGGUGCUAAUUUCAGUGACUUUCAGGUGCUAAACUCGUUGCCUUCCAGGUGCUAAACUCGUUGCCUUCCAGGUGCUAAACUCGUUGCCUUCCAGGUGCUAAACUCGUUGCCUUACAGGUGCUAAACUCGUUGCCUUACAGGUGCUAAACUCGUUGCCUUCCAGGUGCUAAACUCGUUGCCUUCCAGGUGCUAAACUCGUUGCCUUGCAGGUGCUAAACUCGUUGCCUUGCAGGUGCUAAACUCGUUGCCUUGCAGGUGCUAAACUCGUUGCCUUCCAGGUGCUAAACUCGUUGCCUUCCAGGUGCUAAACUCGUUGCCUUCCAGGUGCUAAACUCGUUGCCUUACAGGUGCUAAACUCGUUGCCUUACAGGUGCUAAACUCGUUGCCUUACAGGUGCUAAACUCGUUGCCUUACAGGUGCUAAACUCGUUGCCUUACAGGUGCUAAACUCGUUGCCUUACAGGUGCUAAACUCGUUGCCUUACAGGUGCUAAACUCGUUGCCUUACAGGUGCUAAACUCGUUGCUUUUCAAGUAGUGCUAAUCUUCAUACUUGGCUAAUCUCAUUACUCAUUACAGUUGUUGGACAGUGAUGGUAACCAUCUUGGCCUGAUGAGGUAUGCUGUUCCAUCAAUUGACCUGUUCCCACCUCCUUCUCAACUUCACCAUUUAGCUAAAUCACGGCUUCACCAUUAGCUAAAUUUGUUUCAAAAUCCGAGAUAUUGUACGUGUCAGGCAGACCAGGCAACAAUGAGCAGCUGGCCAUAGCGACACCCCCUUGAGGGGAUAAUAGUCCUACAGUGAGGGAGACCUGGAGCCAUGCCAUCAAUUUUCUAAUCACAAGUCUUUGCUGACUUUAAACAUUAAAGUACAAACUGAGUGUUAAUAAGACUGUCUUCAGAAUUCAUGCAUAAUUAUUUUUUAUGAUUACCAGAUUCUAAAGAAUUAAACCAAUAAAGAGUUUGUAAAAGCCUGAUUCUUAAUAUUUACAGUGCUAUCCAGCAAAAUUAUGCAAAGAAUUCAUAUUGCAUCCAGUAUGAUAUUUACACUGAAAUGAGACGAG